UUAAUUAAUAAUAAUUUUAAUUAAUAAUUUUGUAAUAUUUUAUUUAUAAAAAUAUUUUAAUUCUUAGUUGUUUAAGUAUUAAGUAAAAAAAAAUUUUUAGAUUUAUAGUUUAUUAGUAUUGUAAAAGAAAUUAUUAAAAUAUUUAAAAGAUUUAUUAUUAGUACCUUUUGUAUCAGGGUUAAUUAAAAUUAUUAAAUUAUUAUUAAUUUCUCAAAAUUUAUAGAGUUAAUUUUAUUAUUAAUUUAUUGUUUUAUAAAUAUUUAUAAAAUAAUUUUAGUUUUGAAAUUUAAUUUCGUUAUAAUAUAUUUAGUUAUUUAAGAUUUAAAUUUAAUUUAUAAUUUUAAUAGUUAUUUUAAUUUUUUUAAUUUUAAUAUUUUAGAUUUAAAUUAUUUUAGGGAUAAGCUUGAAAUUUUUAUAUAAUAAAUUGUAUAUAAAAUUUAAUAUUUUAUAGGAAUAGAAAUUUUUAUUUAAAGUUUGUAAAAAUUUAUUAUUUAAAUUAUUUAAAUUUAUUAUAAUUUAUUUAUUUAAUAUAUUAAAUUUUAUAAUAAAAUAUUUUUUUUGUAGUAAUAAUGAUUAAAUUAGUAUAAUUUUAAUUUAUUAAUUAUGAAUUUGGCAAAAUUUAUUUUCAUUUGUUUAACAAAAACAUUGUAUUAAUUUUUAUUUAAUAUAGAAUCUGCUCAAUGAAUUUUUUUUAAAUAGCUGUAGUAUUUUGACUAUGCAAAGGUAGCAUAAUAAUUAGUCUUUUAAUUGGGGACUUGUAUGAAAGAUUUGAUGAAAAAUAAGCUUUAUUAUUAAUAUAUUUUGAAUUUUAUUUUUAAGUAAAAAAGCUUAAAUUAUUAAAAGGGACGAUAAGACCCUAUAAAACUUUAUAAUUAUUAAUAUUUAUUAUUAUUGAUUUUAUAUUUUAUUAAAAUUUAAUAAUUAUUUUAUUGGGGUGAUAAAAAAAUUUUUAAAACUUUUUUUAAAAUUUAACAUUAUUUAAUGAUUUUUUGAAUUAAAAUUUUUAAUUAAAGGAAAAAGUUACUUUAGGGAUAACAGCGUAAUUAAUUUUUUAAGUUCAAAUUUAAAAAUUAGU
rnacentral:rRNA from 1 species